rnacentral:tRNA from 1 species
AAAAACUUAAGUUAAAGAAACUAUUGACCUUCAAAGUCAAACAUAGAAUAAAUUCUAGUUUUUA